rnacentral:rRNA from 1 species
GACGAACGCUGGCGGCGUGCUUAACACAUGCAAGUCGAACGGUGAAGCGCCUUCCUUUUUGGUGGGUGUGGAUGAGUGGCGAACGGGUGAGUAACACGUGAGUAACCUGCCCCCUUCUUCUGGAUAACCGCAUGAAAGUGUGGCUAAUACGGGAUAUUCUGGGUCUGUCGCAUGAUGGGUCUGGGAAAGAUAUUGUUUCGGUGGGGGAUGGGCUCGCGGCCUAUCAGCUUGUUGGUGGGGUGAUGGCCCACCAAGGCGGUGACGGGUAGCCGGCCUGAGAGGGUGGACGGUCACACUGGGACUGAGACACGGACCAGACUCCUACGGGAGGCAGCAGUGGGGAAUAUUGCACAAUGGGCGCAAGCCUGAUGCAGCGACGCCGCGUGAGGGAUGGAGGCCUUCGGGUUGUGAACCUCUUUCGCCAGUGAAGCAGGCCUGCCUCGUUUGUGGGUGGGUUGACGGUAGCUGGAUAAGAAGCGCCGGCUAACUACGUG